rnacentral:rRNA from 1 species
AACGAACGCUGGCGGCAGGCUUAACACAUGCAAGUCGAACGCAUCCUUCGGGGUGAGUGGCAGACGGGUGAGUAACGUGUGGGAACGUGCCCUUCAGUUCGGGAUAACCCAGGGAAACUUGGGCUAAUACCGGAUACGUGCGAGAGCAGAAAGAUUUAUCGCUGAAGGAUCGGCCCGCGUCUGAUUAGCUAGUUGGUGGGGUAAUGGCCCACCAAGGCGACGAUCAGUAGCUGGUCUGAGAGGAUGAUCAGCCACAUUGGGACUGAGACACGGCCCAAACUCCUACGGGAGGCAGCAGUGGGGAAUAUUGGACAAUGGGCGCAAGCCUGUUCCAGCCAUGCCGCGUGAGUGAUGAAGGCCUUAGGGUUGUAAGGCUCUUUCGUCCGGGACGAUAAUGACGGUACCGGAAGAAGAAGCCCCGGCUAACUUCGUGCCAGCAGCCGCAGUAA